GCGGGGGUAACGAAGCCUGGUCAACCGUGCGGGACUCAAGAUCCCGUCCCUUAGGGGUUCGUGGGUUCGAAUCCCACCCCCCGCACCA
rnacentral:tRNA from 1 species